UGGGGAAUAUUGCACAAUGGGCGAAAGCCUGAUGCAGCAACGCCGCGUGAGUGAUGAAGGCCUUCGGGUUGUAAAGCUCUGUCUUUUGGGACGAUAAUGACGGUACCAAAGGAGGAAGCCACGGCUAACUACGUGCCAGCAGCCGCGGUAAUACGUAGGUGGCAAGCGUUGUCCGGAUUUACUGGGCGUAAAGGAUGCGUAGGCGGAUUUUUAAGUGAGAUGUGAAAUACCCGGGCUUAACUUGGGUGCUGCAUUUCAAACUGGGAAUCUAGAGUACGGGAGAGGAGAAUGGAAUUCCUAGUGUAGCGGUGAAAUGCGUAGAGAUUAGGAAGAACACCAGUGGCGAAGGCGAUUCUCUGGACCGUAACUGACGCUGAGGCAUGAAAGCGUGGGUAGCAAACAGGAUUAGAUACCCUGGUAGUCCACGCCGUAAACGAUGAGUACUAGGUGUAGGAGGUAUCGACCCCUUCUGUGCCGCAGUUAACACAAUAAGUACUCCGCCUGGGAAGUACGAUCGCAAGAUUAAAACUCAAAUGAAUUGACGGGGUC
rnacentral:rRNA from 1 species